rnacentral:lncRNA from 1 species
CGUUGCUCUCGCUGGAGGGAAGAAAUGACAGCCUUGGUGCCCAGAAGUGAAACCUGCUGGCAGGUGAUGGCAGCUCCCAGAGGAGCCAAGGGGCCCUGGGACAGUGGGAGGGGGAUGGCUGGGGUGUCUGUGGGAGGGCAGCCUCACCCUUGGCUGAGUACACUCAGCACAGGCAGUGGACAGAGAAGAGAUCCCAUUGUGGAAUAACACCUGGAGGGAGCGGGGAGUCGUGGGCUCUGAGCCGUCAGCCACAGUUGAGGUGUCUGACCACGUGCUGCUGAUGGACAAGCAGGGAUCCCACACAAAGCUGGGAUCACCAACCCCAAGGACGCACCACAAACUGAAGAACUAACACGAGCGAACUAACUAGCGCAGAGCCGGCGCUGUACAGCGAGAUUGGGUGCCCCUCCUCCUUGGCCUGGGCUAGACUGAAUCUGCCAGGUUCCCUGGCAAGGGGUGUGGCCAGGUGGCCACCUGCAGUGGAGGUGACAGCAGUGACGUGUGCCUCUCCUGUGACUGGCCCAAAAGGCCCUCC